rnacentral:rRNA from 1 species
UUCUCGUUGCUUCUGGCAGGCGGCGGCCCUCUCUGGAGGGCGCGGCCUGCCUGCCAGAGGCGGCUUGCACGAACCUUCUAUUUUUCUUACCUGACCGUCUGAGUACGAUUUUGAAUCAAAUCAAAACUUUCAACAACGGAUCUCUUGGCUCUGGCAUCGAUGAAGAACGCAGCGAAAUGCGAUAAGUAAUGUGAAUUGCAGAAUUCAGCGAAUCAUCGAAUCUUUGAACGCACAUUGCGCCUGCCAGCAUUCUGGCAGGCAUGCCUGUCCGAGCGUCAUUUCCACCCUCAUGCGCCCUGUCUGCGCGUGGUGUUGGGGCUCUGCUCUCCCUGCCCUGGUGCGGGAGAGGCCCUGAAAGCGAGUGGCGGGCCGCCUGGUUGGCUCCGAGCGCAGUAGAAACGCACUGUUUUUUUCAUCGCUCUGGACGUCGCCGGCGGCGCCUGCCGUCAAAACGCACAAUGACGUGCAACUUUUUACAAGGUUGACCUCGGAUCAGGUAGGACUACCCGCUGAACUUAA